CAGAAUCUCCCACCAGCUCCUGGGAUGAAAUAGUUCUCUCCAUUACAAAACAGGCAGGACAGGAAGACAACAGAAUUGCACCCACAUUCAAAAAUCAUCCUACUAAUUAACACAAAGACCUGCACUGGAGCCAUUGUGAAGACUUAAGGCCCAAAGCAGUUACGCAGUCGAGCAUGUGUUUAAGAAUGAAGGAUGUGGUAUCCUUGGGAGUUCUGCAUAUCAUCUGAUAGAGGCUUUCAAAUCCCUGGCAAUGCAUAAGGGAUGACAUCAAACUAUGUUAAUAUACUGUUUGUAUAACCAAA